rnacentral:rRNA from 1 species
CCAGACUCCUACGGGAGGCAGCAGUGGGGGAUAUUGCACAAUGGGGGAAACCCUGAUGCAGCGACGCCGCGUGGGUGAAGAAGCGCCUCGGCGCGUAAAGCCCUGUCAGCAGGGAAGAAAAUGACGGUACCUGACCAAGAAGCCCCGGCUAACUACGUGCCAGCAGCCGCGGUAAUACGUAGGGGGCAAGCGUUAUCCGGAUUUACUGGGUGUAAAGGGAGCGUAGACGGCAAGGCAAGUCUGGAGUGAAAGCCCGUGGCUCAACCACGGGACUGCUUUGGAAACUGUGUUGCUGGAGUGCAGGAGGGGUAAGCGGAAUUCCUAGUGUAGCGGUGAAAUGCGUAGAUAUUAGGAGGAACACCGGCGGCGAAGGCGGCCUGCUGGACCGCGACUGACGUUGAGGCUCGAAAGCGUGGGGAGCGAACAGGAUUAGAUACCCGUGUA